rnacentral:rRNA from 1 species
GAUGAACGCUAGCGGCAGGCUUAACGCAUGCAAGUCGAGGGGUAUAGUUCUUCGGAACUAGAGACCGGCGCACGGGUGCGUAACGCGUAUGCAAUCUACCUUUUGCAGAGGGAUAGCCCAGAGAAAUUUGGAUUAAUACCUCAUGGUAUGUGAGAAUGGCAUCAUUUUCACAUUAAAGUCACAACGGCAAAAGACGAGCAUGCGUCCCAUUAGCUUGUUGGUAAGGUAACGGCUUACCAAGGCAACGAUGGGUAGGGGUCCUGAGAGGGAGAUCCCCCACACUGGUACUGAGACACGGACCAGACUCCUACGGGAGGCAGCAGUGAGGAAUAUUGGACAAUGGGCGCAAGCCUGAUCCAGCCAUGCCGCGUGCAGGAUGACGGUCCUAUGGAUUGUAAACUGCUUUUGUACAGGAAGAAACACUGGUUCGUGAACCAGCUUGACGGUACUGUAAGAAUAAGGAUCGGCUAACUCCGUGCCAGCCGCCGCCGUAACAC